UACGAAGGGGGCUAGCGUUGUUCGGAAUUACUGGGCGUAAAGCGUGCGCAGGCGGUUUGUUAAGUCUGCUGUGAAAUCCCCGAGCUCAACUUGGGAAUUGCAGUGGAUACUGGCAGGCUGGAGUAUGGUAGAGGAAGGUGGAAUUCCCGGUGUAGCAGUGAAAUGCGUAGGGAUCGGGAGGAACACCAGUGGCGAAGGCGGCCUUCUGGACCAAUACUGACGCUCAUGCACGAAAGCGUGGGGAGCAAACAGG
rnacentral:rRNA from 1 species